GAUGAAGAACGCAGCGAAAUGCGAUACUUGGUGUGAAUUGCAGAAUCCCGCGAAUCAUCGAGUUUUUGAACGCAAGUUGCGCCCGAAGCCAUUCGGCCGAGGGCACGUCUGCCUGGGUGUCACGCAUCGUUGCCCCCCCAAACUCCGGUUCGGGCGGGGCGGAAGUUGGCCUCCCGUGCGUGCCUGCGCGCGCGGUUAGCCCAAAAGCGAGUCCUCGGCGAUGAGCGCCACGACAAUCGGUGGUUUUUUCACCCUCGUUCCUCGUCGUGCGUGCCCCGUCGCCCGAACGCGCUCUUGCAACCCUUACGCGUCGCCUCGGUGGCGCUCCCAACGCGACCCCAGGUCAGGCGGGACUACCCGCUGAGUUUAAGCAUAUCAAUAAGCGGAGGA
rnacentral:misc_RNA from 1 species